rnacentral:pre_miRNA from 1 species
UCUCAUGGAUGAGCAAAGAAAGUCUUCUCUUAAGAUGGAAUAUACUCCUGGUGAAGAUCCUAUGAA